rnacentral:rRNA from 1 species
ACGACUCUCGGCAACGGAUAUCUCGGCUCUCGCAUGGAUGAAGAACGUAGCGAAAUGCGAUACCUGGUGUGAAUUGCAGAAUCCCGCGAACCAUCGAGUCUUUGAACGCAAGUUGCGCCCGAGGCCACUCGGCCGAGGGCACGCCUGCCUGGGCGUCACGC